rnacentral:snRNA from 10 species
GGAUGUGAGGGCGAUCUGGCUGCGACAUCUGUCACCCCAUUGAUCGCCAGGGUUGAUUCGGCUGAUCUGGCUGGCUAGGCGGGUGUCCCCUUCCUCCCUCACCGCUCCAUGUGCGUCCCUCCCGAAGCUGCGCGCUCGGUCGAAGAGGACGGCCUUCCCCGAAUAGAGACGGACCGGUCUUCGGUCGAGGGUAUACGAGUAGCUGCGCUCCCCUGCUAGAACCUCCAAACAAGCUCUCAAGGUCCAUUUGUAGGAGAACGUAGGGUAGUCAAGCUUCCAAGACUCCAGACACAUCCAAAUGAGGCGCUGCACGUGGCAGUCUGCCUUUCUUU